rnacentral:tRNA from 1 species
AUUAGAGUGGCCAAGCGGUCUAAGCACUACGAUUAGGUCACAGUCACCCCUGGAGAUGUGGGUUUGAAUCCCACCUCUAUUG